rnacentral:rRNA from 1 species
UACGAAGGGGGCUAGCGUUGCUCGGAAUCACUGGGCGUAAAGCGCACGUAGGCGGCUUCUUAAGUCAGGGGUGAAAUCCUGGAGCUCAACUCCAGAACUGCCUUUGAUACUGAGAAGCUUGAGUUCGGGAGAGGUGAGUGGAACUGCGAGUGUAGAGGUGAAAUUCGUAGAUAUUCGCAAGAACACCAGUGGCGAAGGCGGCUCACUGGCCCGAUACUGACGCUGAGGUGCGAAAGCGUGGGGAGCAAACGGG